GAUCAUGGCUCAGAUUGAACGCUGGCGGCAUGCUUUACACAUGCAAGUCGAACGGCAGCAUAGAGAGCUUGCUCUCUGAUUGCGAGUGGCGAACGGGUGAGUAAUACAUCGGAACGUGUCCUGUUGUGGGGGAUAACUACUCGAAAGAGUAGCUAAUACCGCAUAAGACCUAAGGGUGAAAGCGGGGGACCUUCGGGCCUCGCGCAGUUGGAGCGGCCGAUGACUGAUUAG
rnacentral:rRNA from 1 species